rnacentral:tRNA from 1 species
AAUGAAGUGCCUGAAAUAAAAGGAUUAUUUUGAUAGAAUAAAGCAUGUGUCCUACACCUUCAUUA